UGGAAUGGUGAUGCUUUCUUUCCCAGAAGCUAAACAUGCAACUCCAUUACCAAUAUCGUUAAUCCAUGAAUCAAACGCAGCAAUUUCUGGUUGCAUCGAUGUUGAGAAAUCAGCUUGUUUGAGGUGCAUGUUCUGUGUUAGCUUUAGGUGUGUCAGAUGUUCCCACAAAUAUGACGUUUUCAACGAUGCAGAAAUGAUUU
rnacentral:lncRNA from 1 species